rnacentral:rRNA from 1 species
GUUGGUGAACCAGCGGAGGGAUCAUUACUGAGUUUACGCUCUACAACCCUUUGUGAACAUACCUAUAACUGUUGCUUCGGCGGGUAGGGUCUCCGUGACCCUCCCGGCCUCCCGCCCCCGGGCGGGUCGGCGCCCGCCGGAGGAUAACCAAACUCUGAUUUAACGACGUUUCUUCUGAGUGGUACAAGCAAAUAAUCAAAACUUUUAACAACGGAUCUCUUGGUUCUGGCAUCGAUGAAGAACGCAGCGAAAUGCGAUAAGUAAUGUGAAUUGCAGAAUUCAGUGAAUCAUCGAAUCUUUGAACGCACAUUGCGCCCGCCAGCAUUCUGGCGGGCAUGCCUGUUCGAGCGUCAUUUCAACCCUCAAGCUCUGCUUGGUGUUGGGGCCCUACAGCUGAUGUAGGCCCUCAAAGGUAGUGGCGGACCCUCCCGGAGCCUCCUUUGCGUAGUAACUUUACGUCUCGCACUGGGAUCCGGAGGGACUCUUGCCGUAAAACCCCCAAUUUUCCAAAGGUUGACCUCGGAUCAGUAGGAAUACCCGCUGAACUUAAGCAUU